rnacentral:hammerhead_ribozyme from 1 species
AUCCGGUUGACGAGUCCCAAAUAGGAUGAAACGCGUGUCCUGGAU